UCGGCGCUGCGGCGCUGGCAAAAGCAAAAUUAAUAAUAAAAAAACUCACAUUAAAGGGUAUUUUUUUUUCAUUUGCAGCGUUGUAAGCUUGUAAUUUUGUUUUAACUAUCGCUGUGUGGCUAAGUAUUCUCAAUUUCGAAGCACGUCUGACGAAAGUAUGAAUUGAACGUUUCAAGUUUACAUUGUUUUUGAAGGCGUCAGCUCCGGAACUUUUCCGAGAGUUACGCCACUCCGGCAUUAUACUCAGAGUUGCAGAUAGACGCUGUUCUCUAAUACCCAGCACUCUAACGCGUUCGUUAUUACACAUACACGGACUGCUAUUGAGUUAAUAGGAAAAAAAUCCAGUUUACUCAAAUUGAAGACGUGAUGCACAAGCUAAUCAGAGAACUCGGAUAUAAGAAAAUCCAGUGAUUGCAGAGAGAACGUUGGGAUCAAGAGGUUAGAUGCAGGAAUUCUGCAGAUGCUGGAAAUUCAAGCAACACACAUCAAAGUUGCUGGUGAAUGUAGCAGGCCAAGCAGCAUCUGUAGGAAGAGGUGCAGUCGACUUUUCAGGCCGAGACCCUUCGUCAGGACUAACUGAAGGAAGAGCAUACACAGUCAAACAAAUACAAUGGAAUCAAUGAAAAAAAAACACGCAGGUAAACAACAGUGUGCAAAAGAAGGCGAACUGUGCAAAUAAAAAUAAUAUUGAGAACAUGAGUUGCUGAGUUCUUGAAAAUAACUCCAUAGGUUGUGGCAACACACAUCAAAGUUGCUGGUGAACGCAGCAGGCCAGGCAGCAUCUCUAGGAAGAGGUACAGUCGACGUUUCGGGCCGAGACCCUUCGUCAGGACCAUAGGUUGUGGAGUCAGUUUAGAGUUGAGAUCAAGCGGAGUAGCACAGAGGGUGUGGAUGGGCUUCUGGCUUCAAUGGGGGAACACAAGUAUUCGGUGAAGAUGGAGCAUCAGCUCUCAGACCUCACUGGACGUGUUCAGAUGCCAUCUUCCAUUAAUCAGAACCACAGAGCAUCCAGAAGGCAGACCAAAGAUUUCUUCAUCCCUGUUGGUAAGUUCUCUGAUUUAUUUUGGUGUAAUUUACAAUGUCCAGCCACCAUAUCCUUGCCCAUGUUUAUCUGGACCUUCCAGCCUAGAAACCUGCGACUGGAGCUUAGAAAAAUAGAGGGCUAUGGGUAACCCUAGUAACCUCUAAGGUAGGGACAUGUUCGGCACAACUUUAUGGGCCGAAGGGCCUGUAUUGUACUGUAAGUUUUCUAUGUUUCUAUGCUAGGAGUGUUAACAAGGCUAGUUUGUAG